CCAGCCCCUCGGCCUUGUUCUGUCUCUCAAAGGCAUUGAGAUCCAGUACGCUGAGGAAAAGAAAGGAAA
rnacentral:miRNA from 1 species